rnacentral:rRNA from 1 species
UACGUAGGAGGCAAGCGUUGUCCGGAAUUAUUGGGCGUAAAGAGCGUGUAGGCGGCCAGAUAAGUCCGCUGUGAAAUCUCGAGGCUCAACUUCGAGCUGUCGGUGGAAACUAUCUGGCUAGAGUCCGGAAGAGGAGAAUGGAAUUCCUGGUGUAGCGGUGAAAUGCGCAGAUAUCAGGAGGAACACCGGUGGCGAAGGCGGCUACCUGGACAGAAACUGACGCUGAGGCACGAAAGCUAGGGGAGCAAACAGG